UACGUAGGGUGCGAGCGUUGUCCGGAAUUAUUGGGCGUAAAGAGCUUGUAGGUGGUUUGUCGCGUCUGCUGUGAAAAUCCGAGGCUCAACCUCGGACUUGCAGUGGGUACGGGCAGACUAGAGUGUGGUAGGGGAGACUGGAAUUCCUGGUGUAGCGGUGGAAUGCGCAGAUAUCAGGAAGAACACCAACGGCGAAGGCAGCUCGCUAGGACGGUACUGACGCUGAGACGCGAAAGCGUGGGGAGCGAACAGG
rnacentral:rRNA from 1 species